rnacentral:rRNA from 1 species
GAAAGUUCGACGGCAGUGAUUAGAGUUUGAUCCUGGCUCAGGAUAAACGCUGGCGGCGCACAUAAGACAUGCAAGUCGAACGGACUUAAUUCGUUAGUUUACUAAUGGAAGCGGUUAGUGGCGGACUGGUGAGUAACGCGUAAGCAACCUGCCUAUUAGUAGGGAAUAACAGUGAGAAAUCAUUGCUAAUACCGUAUAAGCUGGAAACAUCGCAUGAUGUAGUCAGAAAAGGAGCAAUUCGCUAAUAGAUGGGCUUGCGUCUGAUUAGUUAGUUGGUGGGGUAACGGCCUACCAAGACGAUGAUCAGUAGCCGGACUGAGAGGUUAAACGGCCACAUUGGGACUGAGAUACGGCCCAGACUCCUACGGGAGGCAGCAGUCGGGAAUAUUGCGCAAUGGAGGAAACUCUGACGCAGUGACGCCGCGUGCAGGAAGAAGGUUUUCGGAUUGUAAACUGCUUUAGACAGGGACGAAACAAAUGACGGUACCUGUAGAAUAAGCUCCGGCUAACUACGUGCCAGCAGCCGCGGUAAUACGUAGGGAGCAAGCGUUAUCCGGAUUUAUUGGGUGUAAAGGGUGCGUAGACGGAUAAACAAGUUAGUUGUGAAAUACCUCGGCUUAACUGAGGAACUGCAACUAAAACUAUAUAUCUUGAGUACUGGAGGGGAAAGCGGAAUUCCUAGUGUAGCGGUGAAAUGCGUAGAUAUUAGGAAGAACACCGGUGGCGAAGGCGGCUUUCUGGACAGCAACUGACGUUGAGGCACGAAAGUGUGGGGAGCAAACAGGAUUAGAUACCCUGGUAGUCCACACCGUAAACGAUGGAUACUAGGUGUUGGCUGUGAUGAGCAGUCAGUGCCGUCGCAAACGCAGUAAGUAUCCCACCUGGGGAGUACGACCGCAAGGUUGAAACUCAAAGGAUUGACGGGGGCCCGCACAGCAGUGGAGUAUGUGGUUUAAUUCGACGCACGCGAAGAACUUACAAGCUUGACAUAUACAGGAUAUAUAGAAAUAUAAUAGCUCUCGAGCUGUAUACAGUGGUGCAUGGUGUCGUCAGCUCUGUCUGAGAUGUAGUAAGUCUGCACGAGCGCAUCCUAUUCAGUGCAGCACGUAUGGUGGAACUCUGGAAGACUGCGUAUAAUCGAGAGAGGUGGGGGUGAGUCAAUAUCAUGGCUUAGUCUGGGCACACGGUCUCAAUGCGUCAAGAGACAGAGGAGCAAUCAAACGACUCAUCGACUGAGGCGAAAUGACCUCCA